AUUUUCUUCUCAUUUCAGUUUUCCUUACUUUCCAGUCCAGUAUCCUAAACCUGCUGGGACUGGAGACUCAGGAUGUAUAAGGUAACUCCCUUUUUUUUUUUUGAGACAGAGUUUCACUCUUGUUACCCAAGCUGGAGUGCAAUGGCGUGAUCUUGGCUCACCGCAACCUCCGCCUCCCGAGUUCAAGUGAUUCUCCUGCCUCAGCCUCCCAAGUAGCUGGGAUUACAGGUAUGCGUCACCACGCCUGGGUAAUUUUGUAUUUUUAGUAGAGACAGUGUUUCUCCAUGUUGGUCAGGCUGGUCUCAAACUCCCGACCUUAGGUGAUCUGCCCUCCUCGGCCUCCCAAAGUGCUGGGAUUACAGGCGUGAGCCACUGCAGCUGGCCAAGAGAACCCUUUUAAACUGUGAAUGACUCUGAAUGCUGCUAAGUUCUUUUUAUAAGUUUCUCUUCUUGGCCACCUUUCUUUAUCUUAUGUUUUAUUUAUUUCCUUGAAUAUGUUAAAUCGACAAAAUCCAAAAAAUAAAGAAAAACUGUUUAUCUUCUCUAUUUUGGUUCCAUGAAAAAGUUGGUUCAAAUCAUUCAGUCUGGCAUUACUGGAAAUCUCUUAACAAGAUUUACAGAGCUGCCACCCCAGUGAAUUCCACCCCACUGAAUUCAUUGUUCAUUGAGAGAGAUUAGAAAAUGAAGAUACCAUGCCCCUUGGCUUCCCUUCUAAAGGAGACACUGGGAAAGGAGAGAAUGUGGAGAAGAGACUUUUGUCCUGGAUUAGAUUUACAGUCACAGAUUUUCAAGUGGGAAAAGCUCAAGGAUGGUUUCAUCCAAUACCCCAUUCACAGGUAAGGAAACUGGUAUAGAGUGAGGCAACCUGGGCAGAGACCAAACAAGAGAUGAGCCUGCAGCUCCUGGUUCCUUCUACAGGGAAAACAAAACAUGUUCACUUAAAUAUUAUCUAUGUGAUCCUUAAAACGUACCUAUGACAUCUUUAGGAAAAUCUUCCUCCUACCUUGUGGACAUCAAUGCCUGCAGGGGCUGAGAAAUGUGCCCACAUCUCACUCACAAGCUGUCCAGAGGACCCAGCGCUCCUGAGACAACUGUCUAUUCCUUUCGCC
rnacentral:lncRNA from 1 species